rnacentral:rRNA from 1 species
UUAAGCGACUAAGCGUACACGGUGGAUGCCCUGGCAGUCAGAGGCGAUGAAGGACGUGCUAAUCUGCGAAAAGCGUCGGUAAGGUGAUAUGAACCGUUAUAGCCGGCGAUGUCCGAAUGGGGAAACCCAGUGCAAUUCGUUGCACUAUCGUUAACUGAAUACAUAGGUUAACGAGGCGAACCGGGGGAACUGAAACAUCUAAGUACCCCGAGGAAAAGAAAUCAACCGAGAUUCCCCCAGUAGCGGCGAGCGAACGGGGAGCAGCCCAGAGUCUGAAUCAGCUUGUGUGUUAGUGGAACGGUCUGGAAAGUCCGACGGUACAGGGUGAUAGUCCCGUACACCAAAAUGCACAGGUUGUGAACUCGAAGAGUAGGGCGGGACACGUGGUAUCCUGUCUGAAUAUGGGGGGACCAUCCUCCAAGGCUAAAUACUCCUGACUGACCGAUAGUGAACCAGUACCGUGAGGGAAAGGCGAAAAGAACCCCGGCGAGGGGAGUGAAAAAGAACCUGAAACCGUGUACGUACAAGCAGUGGGAGCACCUUCGGGUGUGACUGCGUACCUUUUGUAUAAUGGGUCAGCGACUUAUAUUCUGUAGCAAGGUUAACCGUAUAGGGGAGCCGCAGGGAAACCGAGUCUUAACUGGGCGUUAAGUUGCAGGGUAUAGACCCGAAACCCGGUGAUCUAGCCAUGGGCAGGUUGAAGGUUGGGUAACACUAACUGGAGGACCGAACCGACUAAUGUUGAAAAAUUAGCGGAUGACUUGUGGCUGGGGGUGAAAGGCCAAUCAAACCGGGAGAUAGCUGGUUCUCCCCGAAAGCUAUUUAGGUAGCGCCUCGUGAACUCAUCUUCGGGGUAGAGCACUGUUUCGGCUAGGGGGUCAUCCCGACUUACCAACCCGAUGCAAACUACGAAUACCGAAGAAUGUUAUCACGGGAGACACACGGCGGGUGCUAACGUCCGUCGUGAAGAGGGAAACAACCCAGACCGCCAGCUAAGGUCCCAAAGUCAUGGUUAAGUGGGAAACGAUGUGGGAAGGCACAGACAGCCAGGAUGUUGGCUUAGAAGCAGCCAUCAUUUAAAGAAAGCGUAAUAGCUCACUGGUCGAGUCGGCCUGCGCGGAAGAUGUAACGGGGCUAAACCAUGCACCGAAGCUGCGGCAGCGACACUAUGUGUUGUUGGGUAGGGGAGCGUUCUGUAAGCCUGCGAAGGUGACCUGUGAGGGUUGCUGGAGGUAUCAGAAGUGCGAAUGCUGACAUAAGUAACGAUAAAGCGGGUGAAAAGCCCGCUCGCCGGAAGACCAAGGGUUCCUGUCCAACGUUAAUCGGGGCAGGGUGAGUCGACCCCUAAGGCGAGGCCGAAAGGCGUAGUCGAUGGGAAACAGGUUAAUAUUCCUGUACUUGGUGUUACUGCGAAGGGGGGACGGAGAAGGCUAUGUUAGCCGGGCGACGGUUGUCCCGGUUUAAGCAUGUAGGCUGGUUGUCCAGGCAAAUCCGGAUAAUCAAGGCUGAGGUGUGAUGACGAGGUACUACGGUGCUGAAGUAACAAAUGCCCUGCUUCCAGGAAAAGCCUCUAAGCAUCAGGUAACAUCAAAUCGUACCCCAAACCGACACAGGUGGUCAGGUAGAGAAUACCAAGGCGCUUGAGAGAACUCGGGUGAAGGAACUAGGCAAAAUGGUGCCGUAACUUCGGGAGAAGGCACGCUGGUGUGUAGGUGAAGUCCCUGCGGAUGGAGCUGAGACCAGUCGAAGAUACCAGCUGGCUGCAACUGUUUAUUAAAAACACAGCACUGUGCAAACACGAAAGUGGACGUAUACGGUGUGACGCCUGCCCGGUGCCGGAAGGUUAAUUGAUGGGGUUAUCCGUAAGGAGAAGCUCUUGAUCGAAGCCCCGGUAAACGGCGGCCGUAACUAUAACGGUCCUAAGGUAGCGAAAUUCCUUGUCGGGUAAGUUCCGACCUGCACGAAUGGCGUAAUGAUGGCCAGGCUGUCUCCACCCGAGACUCAGUGAAAUUGAACUCGCUGUGAAGAUGCAGUGUACCCGCGGCAAGACGGAAAGACCCCGUGAACCUUUACUAUAGCUUGACACUGAACAUUGAGCCUUGAUGUGUAGGAUAGGUGGGAGGCUUUGAAGCGUGGACGCCAGUCUGCGUGGAGCCAACCUUGAAAUACCACCCUUUAAUGUUUGAUGUUCUAACGUUGGCCCCUGACCGGGGUUGCGGACAGUGUCUGGUGGGUAGUUUGACUGGGGCGGUCUCCUCCCAAAGCGUAACGGAGGAGCACGAAGGUUAGCUAAUCCUGGUCGGACAUCAGGAGGUUAGUGCAAUGGCAUAAGCUAGCUUGACUGCGAGCGUGACGGCGCGAGCAGGUGCGAAAGCAGGUCAUAGUGAUCCGGUGGUUCUGAAUGGAAGGGCCAUCGCUCAACGGAUAAAAGGUACUCCGGGGAUAACAGGCUGAUACCGCCCAAGAGUUCAUAUCGACGGCGGUGUUUGGCACCUCGAUGUCGGCUCAUCACAUCCUGGGGCUGAAGUAGGUCCCAAGGGUAUGGCUGUUCGCCAUUUAAAGUGGUACGCGAGCUGGGUUUAGAACGUCGUGAGACAGUUCGGUCCCUAUCUGCCGUGGGCGCUGGAGAAUUGAGGGGGGCUGCUCCUAGUACGAGAGGACCGGAGUGGACGCAUCACUGGUGUUCGGGUUGUCAUGCCAAUGGCACUGCCCGGUAGCUAAAUGCGGAAGAGAUAAGUGCUGAAAGCAUCUAAGCACGAAACUUGCCCCGAGAUGAGUUCUCCCUGAGACUUUAAGUCUCCUGAAGGAACGUUGAAGACGACGACGUUGAUAGGCCGGGUGUGUAAGCGCAGCGAUGCGUUGAGCUAACCGGUACUAAUGAACCGUGAGGCUUAACCUU